GACGAACGCUGGCGGCGUGCCUAAUACAUGCAAGUGGAACGCAUUGGUAACACCGGACUUGCUCCAGUGUUACUAAUGAGUCGCGAACGGGUGAGUAACGCGUAGGUAACCUGCCUGAUAGCGGGGGAUAACUAUUGGAAACGAUAGCUAACACCGCAUAAGAGGAGUUAACUCAUGUUAACUGUUUAAAAGAAGCAAUGGCUUCACUAUCAGAUGGACCUGCGUUGUAUUAGCUAGUAGGUAGGGUAACGGCCUACCUAGGCAACGAUACAUAGCCGACCUGAGAGGGUGAACGGCCACACUGGGACUGAGACACGGCCCAGACUCCUACGGGAGGCAGCAGUAGGGAAUCUUCGGCAAUGGACGCAAGUCUGACCGAGCAACGCCGCGUGAGUGAAGACGGUUUUCGGAUCGUAAAGCUCUGUUGUAGGGGAAGAACGUGUGUAAGAGUGGAAAGCUUACACAGGACGUACCCUACCAGAAAGGC
rnacentral:rRNA from 1 species